rnacentral:misc_RNA from 1 species
AAAGUCGUAACAAGGUUUCCGUAGGUGAACCUGCGGAAGGAUCAUUAUUGAUUUCAAAUGAGAUGUGCUGGUCUUUUAAAAUGGGCAAUGUGCACUCUCAACCCUUUACAUCCACCUGUGCACUUUUCGUAGGCAACAAAAAGGAACUUGUAAUGGGUUCCUGCCUAUGUUUUUAAUACACAAUAUUUAUUAUGGAUUGUAGUGUGGCCCUUCAAGCCAAUAAAACUAUACAACUUUCAACAAUGGAUCUCUUGGUUCUC